GGACUGGUUCAGUGGAAGAGCAGCUGCUUUGGAUGCAGUCCUGGGUUUGAUCCCUGGCAUCUCCA
rnacentral:tRNA from 1 species